rnacentral:rRNA from 1 species
GACGAACGCUGGCGGCGUGCUUAACACAUGCAAGUCGUACGGUAAGGCCCUUUCGGGGGUACACGAGUGGCGCACGGGUGAGUAACACGUGAGUAACCUGCCCACAACUUUGGGAUAACGCUAGGAAACUGGUGCUAAUACUGGAUAUGUGCUCCUGCUGCAUGGUGGGGGUUGGAAAGCUCCGGCGGUUGUGGAUGGACUCGCGGCCUAUCAGCUUGUUGGUGGGGUAGUGGCCUACCAAGGCGGCGACGGGUAGCCGGCCUGAGAGGGUGACCGGCCACAUUGGGACUGAGAUACGGCCCAGACUCCUACGGGAGGCAGCAGUGGGGAAUAUUGCACAAUGGGCGCAAGCCUGAUGCAGCAACGCCGCGUGCGGGAUGACGGCCUUCGGGUUGGAAACCGCUUUCAGCAGGGACGAAGCUUUUUGUGACGGUACCUGCAGAAGAAGCACCGGCUAACUACGUG